rnacentral:rRNA from 1 species
UGGGGAAUAUUGGACAAUGGGCGAAAGCCUGAUCCAGCCAUGCCGCGUGAGUGAUGAAGGCCUUAGGGUUGUAAAGCUCUUUUAGCAGGGAAGAUAAUGACGGUACCUGCAGAAAAAGCCCCGGCUAACUUCGUGCCAGCAGCCGCGGUAAUACGAAGGGGGCUAGCGUUGCUCGGAAUUACUGGGCGUAAAGCGCACGUAGGCGGACUCUUAAGUCGGUGGUGAAAUCCUGGAGCUCAACUCCAGAACUGCCUUCGAUACUGGGAGUCUUGAGUUCGGGAGAGGUGAGUGGAACUGCGAGUGUAGAGGUGAAAUUCGUAGAUAUCCGCAAGAACACCAGUGGCGAAGGCGGCUCACUGGCCCGAUACUGGCGCUGAGGUGCGAAAGCGUGGGGAGCAAACA